GACGAACGCUGGCGGCGUGCUUAACACAUGCAAGUCGAACGGAAAGGCGCUGCCUUUGUGGGGUGCGCGAGUGGCGAGCGGGUAAGUAGCACGAAAGUAGCCUGCCCUAGACUUUGGGAUAACGUCAAGAACCUCGAGUAAACCACGGAAAGGUGCCCCAGCUGCUAUGCGUGGAAUGGACAGUUUCGGCGGUUGGGGAUGGACUCGCGUAUUAUCAGCUUGGUGGUGGGGUCGACGCUUACCAAGGCCAUGAGGGGUAGCCGGCCUGAGAGGGUGAACGGCCACACUGGAACUGAGAGAGGCCCCGGACACCUACGGGCGGCAGCAGGGGGGAGUAUUGCGUGAUGGGCGGGAGCCUGAUGCAGCAACGCACGGUGCGGGAUGGCGGCAGCCGGUUGGUGAGCCGCUUUCGCCUAUGGCGAAGCGUAAGUGACGGUAAUGGGUAAAGAAGCACCGGCUAACUACGUG
rnacentral:rRNA from 1 species